UACGUAGGGUCCGAGCGUUGUCCGGAAUUAUUGGGCGUAAAGGGCUCGUAGGCGGUUCGUCACGUCGGGAGUGAAAACUCGGAGCUUAACUCCGAGCCUGCUUCCGAUACGGGCAGACUAGAGGUAGGCAGGGGAGAGCGGAACUCCUGGUGUAGCGGUGGAAUGCGCAGAUAUCAGGAAGAACACCAGCGGCGAAGGCGGCACUCUGGGCCGGAACUGACGCUGAGGAGCGAAAGCGUGGGUAGCAAACAGG
rnacentral:rRNA from 1 species